ensembl:lncRNA
GAAAGAAAACACAGAUGAUAAAUUUUCAUUCUCAGCGCACAUUUCAAGUCAUCACUUCAAUUAUUCCUAUCAGUCCUGUUGUCUGCUGCACUCCCAUUUUUUACCUCCCCCAGCAUAUGAAUGAUACUUCUCAAGUUUUCAGAAGUUUUACAAAGCAGUGCUUUUUUGCGCACCCAAUCUGCAGGUGCAGCAAAGACCUUGGCAAGGGGCAAACCGAUUAUCACUUACGAAAACAGUUACAUCGUAUUGUUCAUAUUUCUUCAAGGUCUUGAGCAAGGCAUAAAUUCUCAUGAAAACGAAGCUAUUGCAGUUCCAGCAUCAGACAGCUAACCAGCCUUUAAAUCCAAGUCUUAAAUACCGCGCAGCAGUUCUGACUUCAUUAAAUGAAGACAAUGUACUUUUACAGACUUGUAAUUCAGCCUCUGAUCCUGCUACAAAAAUGACUACAUUUCUUCUUUCCGAGAGCUCCCUUUUCUUGUAUGUAUUCCAGAAUAGGAAAUUACAAUGAAUUUUUAACCUACUAAACACUGUGAAGUCCUUGUUGAUCCCCAGGGAUUAAAGCUAUUUGUUUCGUGCUUUAACCUCUGUUCUAGCCUUGACUAUUUUUUAACAUCUCUGUAGUGCUGAAUCAAAAAAAAAAAAAAAAGGAAAUGCACUGCAAAAAAAAUACAUUAACAUUCAAUUCCUAUUAAUCUAUGCAUUUUUUAUUACAG